AUUGAACGCUGGCGGCAUGCCUUACACAUGCAAGUCGAACGCGAAAGGGGGGCAACUCCUGAGUAGAGUGGCGCACGGGUGAGUAAUGCAUCGGAACGUGUCCUGUAGCGGGGGAUAACCUAGCGAAAGCUAGGCUAAUACCGCAUACGUCCUACGGGAGAAAGUGGGGGAUCGUAAGACCUCACACUAUAGGAGCGGCCGAUGCCGGAUUAGCUAGUUGGUGGGGUAAAAGCCUACCAAGGCGACGAUCCGUAGCUGGUCUGAGAGGAUGAUCAGCCACACUGGGACUGGGACACGGCCCAGAGUCCUACGGGAGUCAGCAGUGGGGAAUUUUGGACAAUGGGGGAAACCCUGAUCCAGCCAUGCCGCGUGAGUGAAGAAGGCCUUCGGGUUGUAAAGCUCUUUCGGCCGGGACGAAAUCGCACGCGUGAAUAUCGCGUGUGGAUGACGGUACCGGAAGAAGAAGGACCGGCUAACUACGUGCCAGCCGCCGCCGUAA
rnacentral:rRNA from 1 species